UACGUAGGGUGCAAGCGUUGUCCGGAAUUAUUGGGCGUAAAGAGCUCGUAGGCGGCCUGUCACGUCCGCUGUGAAAUCCCGGGGCUCAACCCCGGGCCUGCAGUGGAUACGGGCUGGCUGGAGGCAGGCAGGGGAGAACGGAAUUCCUGGUGUAGCGGUGAAAUGCGCAGAUAUCAGGAGGAACACCGGUGGCGAAGGCGGUUCUCUGGGCAUGUCCUGACGCUGAGGAGCGAAAGUGUGGGGAGCGAACAGG
rnacentral:rRNA from 1 species